rnacentral:tRNA from 1 species
GGACGAUUGGGAGAGUGGUCGAAUCCACUAUCUUGGAAAGGUAGCGUACUUAAUUGUACCGAGGGUUCAAAUCCCUCAUCGUCCG